rnacentral:rRNA from 1 species
GAUGAACGCUGGCGGCGUGCCUAAUACAUGCAAGUCGAGCGAACGGACGAGAAGCUUGCUUCUCUGAUGUUAGCGGCGGACGGGUGAGUAACACGUGGAUAACCUACCUAUAAGACUGGGAUAACUUCGGGAAACCGGAGCUAAUACCGGAUAAUAUUUUGAACCGCAUGGUUCAAAAGUGAAAGACGGUCUUGCUGUCACUUAUAGAUGGAUCCGCGCUGCAUUAGCUAGUUGGUAAGGUAACGGCUUACCAAGGCAACGAUGCAUAGCCGACCUGAGAGGGUGAUCGGCCACACUGGAACUGAGACACGGUCCAAACUCCUACGGGAGGCAGCAGUAGGGAAUCUUCCGCAAUGGGCGAAAGCCUGACGGAGCAACGCCGCGUGAGUGAGGAAGGUCUUCGGAUCGUAAAACUCUGUUAUUAGGGAAGAACAUAUGUGUAAGUAACUGUGCACAUCUUGACGGUACCUAAUCAGAAAGCCACGGCUAACUACGUG